rnacentral:rRNA from 1 species
AAUGCUUUACACAUGCAAGUCGAACGGUAGAGGGGGCAACCCCUUGAGAGUGGCGAACGGGUGAGUAAUGUAUCGGAACGUGCCCAGUCGUGGGGGAUAACGUAGUGAAAAUUACGCUAAUACCGCAUACGAUCUAUGGAUGAAAGCGGGGGAUCGCAAGACCUCGCGCGAUUGGAGCGGCCGAUAUCAGAUUAGGUAGUUGGUAGGGUAAAGGCCUACCAAGCCAACGAUCUGUAGCUGGUCUGAGAGGACGACCAGCCACACUGGAACUGAGACACGGUCCAGACUCCUACGGGAGGCAGCAGUGGGGAAUUUUGGACAAUGGGCGAAAGCCUGAUCCAGCCAUUCCGCGUGCAGGAUGAAGGCCCUCGGGUUGUAAACUGCUUUUGUACAGAACGAAAAGGUUUCUAUUAAUACUAGGAGCUCAUGACGGUACUGUAAGAAUAAGCACCGGCUAACUACGUGCCAGCAGCCGCGGUAAUACGUAGGGUGCAAGCGUUAAUCGGAAUUACUGGGCGUAAAGCGUGCGCAGGCGGUUAUAUAAGUCAGAUGUGAAAUCCCCGGGCUCAACCUGGGAACUGCAUUUGAGACUGUAUAGCUAGAGUACGGUAGAGGGGGAUGGAAUUCCGCGUGUAGCAGUGAAAUGCGUAGAUAUGCGGAGGAACACCGAUGGCGAAGGCAAUCCCCUGGACCUGUACUGACGCUCAUGCACGAAAGCGUGGGGAGCAAACAGGAUUAGAUACCCUGGUAGUCCACGCCCUAAACGAUGUCAACUGGUUG